UACGAAGGGGGCUAGCGUUGUUCGGAAUCACUGGGCGUAAAGCGCACGUAGGCGGAUUGCUAAGUCAGGGGUGAAAUCCUGGAGCUCAACUCCAGAACUGCCUUUGAUACUGGCGAUCUUGAGUCCGGGAGAGGUGAGUGGAACUGCGAGUGUAGAGGUGAAAUUCGUAGAUAUUCGAAAGAACACCAGUGGCGAAGGCGGCUCACUGGCCCGGUACUGACGCUGAGGUGCGAAAGCGUGGGGAGCAAACAGG
rnacentral:rRNA from 1 species